AGGAACGAGAUGAACUAGCCAAUGAGCUAAAAAUCUCGCUAAUGAAGCUUUAAAAAACUCUGCAUUAAGCGUAGGUCAGCCUUAUGUAGCAAAGGAAAAUUGACGGGAUUCUAGGAAGAUGUACCACCCGUUUCACUAUGAAAACUAACUUGAAUUCGGUAUAUGUUGACGUUAAAGAACACGUAGAAGGCUAAGAAUGUACCAGGUAAUGUCGUAGACGUCUCGAGCAGCCAACAGGAUGUAGACCGGCUUUGAAUGUUGGUGAAAGGAGGCUUGUGCGCUUGGUAGCGAAUUGCUAUGCGCAUCCGAAGUUCCGAAAUUCCGAAGUUCCGAAGUUCCGAAGUUCCGAAGUUCCGAAGUUGGUUGACAUUAGAGAGGGUCUAGUAUUCACUGCCAAUGCAAUCAAGAUAGGCGCUGCUCGAUUUGCUCUGGCUUGGCUCUCUUAUACUAAACCCUCUCUAGUUAACAUGAGUGCGCAUCACUCAGCGAUACCAUAGGAAUCCAAUGUUAACUGUUUCGAACAUGUAGCUUCACGUUUUUGUUGAAGGAACGGAGGUCCUCGUUCGUUGGUACUUGCGUACCUACAGUCGGAGGCCCUUACUACGGUUGUAAGUGCUUCUGCGCGUUAACAAGAAGCUAUCCAGUGAAUCUUAGAACUCCUCGAAUGUCUUUGAGGAUCCGCUAGAAGGCAUCCACGAAUCGUUUCGUGAAUAUGGCGCUUUUGAGCUAGUUUUCACGGAUUUACCCAACCGAGCAAACAAUCGAGAUGCUGAUGGUGGCAGAAGUUGGGCUACUACAUUCUAUCAGACCAUCACAGUUGACGUGUACGCGUUGCCAUGUGAUGAGACGAUCUAGCUAUGGACGACACUGUUGACAUGUCAUUACGGAGUUUAUAAUUUUGACAUCCAUGUUGGGCUAUAACAGGUAGGUUCUUGACGAUGACCUUCAUUCACUCCAUGUCCGCGUGAGUAUGAUAGAACUGUUUGAGAUACAACUCACGAUACAGUGAUGGAAAGAGUCGUUCCGUAAAAACGAUGCACCCAUUCAUCAUGGUGAGUGAUUUCCAUCUAGCUUCAGAUCAAUGAAAUUCUAGACCGUCCAGCCGUUUUGGACGUAGCGGUGGACUAGAAACCCUUUGACUGUAUUACAUACCACUGACUUGAGAUCCACUUACAGAUUGUGGCUCGCAAUACCGUAGUCUUCGUUCGGUAGGUCUGCGUUGCACAUAUUCGAUAUCAAAAUUGUACAGCAGCAUGUUAAGAGCGAAGCAUUGAGGGUGGUAGACCGUAAUUCCCUUCUUCGAAUCAAACACACGAAGCAGAGGACUGUGAUCGGUGUGUAACCGCUUGACGUGUAUUUCGCGAUCAUCAUGCGGUUGUAGUAUUGCUCAGCCUGAAGUGAGUACCAUGGAUAUGUGUUGGACAACCUGAGUGGUCACCUACACAGCAAAAACAAUGUAAUAUUGAUCAACGUAAGUCAAGCUAAUGUAUGAAAUAAUGAUAUAAUAGCAAAAAGCAGAUACAAUAUUACAUCAAUAGAUGUAAUUUUGUUCGUAAAAUCGAUGUACAUCGUACAAUGUGAUAUUACACAACCGAUGGAUUGACCUGGUUGCAGCAGUUUCGAUGUAAUAUUCUACAACUUUUUUUUUGCUGUGUAGAGUCAUACGGAAGAACCGUCAGCGGAAUAAAUUCUUUCCCGCUUCGGGUCAUUGUGUGUAUGGGGAAGUUGAGGGCCCUCUAGAAGGUCGUACAUCGGCUAGGUAGGAUGAGGACGUUGUAUCCGCGGCAUAAUGAACGUAAAAUUAUACGAGGUAUACGAUCCCGUGGAUUCAAUGUAUAUUCGUUAUGAAUCAGCUAACACAGUAGUAACGAGUUCGCUGCUUCUUGGAUGAUAAAUUCAAGCAGUGUUGGAAAAGUUCGCGAUAUUUCAUGAAGUUCACCAAGGGAAAAGUUCGUGACUCAUAGUGAGUUUUCGCGAACCUUUCCAUCACUGAAUUCAAGUUGUUGGAGUUGAGCCUCUCAAUAACGUAGUAUUUAUCUUAACGAGCUGGUUGACCAACUACGACAGAAGGUCUGAGUUACUGAACGUAUUCGAUGUCGAAAUUGUAGAGCAGUAAGUUGAAUGCAAAGCGUUGAAGGACGGGCUUACUGUAGCCUUGUUGGAUACGUGAUAAACAACUUUAAUGAUGCGGUCGGAGUACCUAUGGUCGCGCCGAGUUAUCUUUCAGCAGAAACGGUUAGGCUUCAAAAGAGGAUUUGCUUGAACUGCUCCUGGUAGUCCGGACUCCAGUGGUGAAUCUUAGUCUCUGCCUUGAGCGGGCAGCGUAGCAUUGCGCAUGUUGGAGACAAACUUGCCAUAGUAGUUUAGAACCCUCAAGAAAAAUCGCACAACGGAUACAUCGGAUGAGGACGUAAUCCACGACAGUCGACGAUGUGCCUCAAGUAGCGGGUAUGCUGCUUUCGAAAUGUGCACGACUCGGAUGAUAAAUUCAGUUGAGGCUGGUGAUAAAGGGACGUAGUGGUUGAUCAACUUUGAGAGCAGUCCUGCCUUGCGGAACUUGAUGGUGGGCACGUAUUCGAUGUCGAAAUUGUAGAGGAACAAGUUGACAGUGAAAUGAUGAGGGCCGUUUUCUAUGUAGACCGGAAGCCCCUUCUUGGAAUCGAAGAUAACGAAGUAAAGGGUUAUGACCGCGGUCUAUAUUCGGAACCUUAUUAUAAAGCAGAUAAAAGUAUUCGUGAGUGCCCUGGAUACGAGUUCCAUCAGCGAACCUAUGACUAAUGUGAUGUUUACUAGAAAUACUCAGAGGGAUAGAUGGGCGGAGAAAACAAAAUACAAUGCGGCAGUAGGGAUUUGUACCUAAAUCAUCUUGCAACCCUUGCUAGAAGCUUUUUUUAUUAUGGUCACUUUAACACUUUUAAGUCAUUCGUGACUUGUCCGGGGGUGAGAUUUUGAACUCGUGACUUUGGCGUGAGAGUUAUGGAUGCUAACCAUUACGCCGGGGUCGCGCCUCUUGCUAGACUUUUAUUUUUGAUUCGAUUUACGUGUACAAUAAUAAUUGAUUGCAUCGCAAUAUUUUGCACAUUUCUUGGUGCCAUUAAUUACCCAACUAAGAUCAAUUAAUCAACAGAGUUAGAAUAUUGAUUUUGAUUAAAAAAAACUAGUUGAAUUUGAGAAGCACACGAAACAAAAAGGUGAUUGAAUUUCUGUUCGAUUGCAAUACUCUCAAAUUUAAUCUAGUAAGAAUAAGGAAUUUUAAUGAGAAUGUUCGAUUGGCUCAAAUUUUGACAGGCUCAAAAAAUUCUCUCCGCCCAUCUGUCCCUCUGAGUAUUUCUAGUGUUUACAUAUGCGCUAAUUUGCAAGCGCUAGUGUACUAGAACUGUACUAAAAAGAAUCCAGCAUAAUUUAAACAGGGCGUCAGCAUCUGCCACCAUGAGAUAUUAUAAACGACUGAAAUUCGUGAUAGUUUGUUGAGCUAAUGCAUUAGCAUAAGUGUAAACAGCCCAAUAUGGCCAGUUUACAUAUGCGCUGGUUCACUAGCUCAACCAAAUAGUGAAAAUUUCAGUUGCUCCUAAAAUCUCAUGCUGGUACAUGCUGACGCCCUGUUUACAUUAUGCUGGCUGCUGUUUUAGUACAUUUUUAGUACACUAGCCCUAGUGAACCAGCGUAUAUGUAAACAACUCCCUAUUUGUCGUCCCGUUUCGGGUCGUUCCGGAAUGAUUUGAGACUUCAUUCGAGCAGUUAAAAUGACGUUUACUACCACUCGAACUUUGAAAUAAAACAUUAUUUUGAGAUUUUUUUCUUCUAAGAGAAAACGAGAAAAGUAGCCAUCAUUUGUGCGUUUCAUAAAAAAAAGAGAAAUUAGUCGGUCCAGUUUUAUGGAAUCGCUGGUAGAAAGUCACGCCAAAACUGCUCGACAAAGUGGUCAAUUGCUUUUAAAAACAAACACUUCAAUCGGCGAUUUCUCGCGAAUAAAAGUUCAAUCUCGAAAACGAAUAACAACAUCCGAAAACUAAUAAUGAUUCCUCUAUCAUUUGGAAUAGGUUGUUUUUCGAGGUAGAAACGUGUUUGUUUUUAAAGGCAAGUACGCCCAAAUCUCAAAUCCGGCGUUGUUUGUGAGUAAUAGAUCCGAAGCGAGGAUUUUCUUGAACUGCUGCAAUGACGGCACCGUCGAGAGAUCGUCUCUUCUAGCAAAUAUUGACAGUUUCUUAUGGGAAUUUUCAGUGGAGUGAAAGGAUAGUACCUAGGCCGCCAUGUUUAACGCACAGUCUGACGAUUGCUUAUGGAUUUUACCACAGGAUUAAAAAGCUACAGAGUCCGUCAACGCCAAUUGCUGUCUGGCCUCGUGUCUAGCACUUCGGACUCAAGCGGUCAAAUUCCGUUUCUGCCUUGAGGAUAUAAUCGAGCGGGUAGCGUACCAUACGUAUGUUGAUGGCCCCAAGAAGGAUCCCAUACCGGAUACAUUGGUUGAAGGUGACAGCUUGGAAAUUGACUCGAUUUGACCGGAUCCAGACGUAACCUAAGGUGAGAAAUUUGCUGCUUCCAAAACGUACACUUUUCGAAUCGGAAGGUAAGAUCAAAAUAACCUGGGAUCGCUGCAAAACUUCCAGUAGAUUGUGGUCGUACUCCGCGUCGGCUUCACUGCCUUCGUUGACAUCAACAAGAUUGCGAAAAGUACCCAUCAGUCCAACUAUUCACUAACUAAGUGAAAGCGUCCGACAAAUCAUACGGUAGAUCUUGCAGUUAGCUUGUCUGUCGAAGAUGCCGACUGGAAGUGCAAGUGAAUACUGCUGCGGUUGAAGAGCUGCGUUCAAAGCCGUCGAGGUUAGGUUAGGCACUAUAAGUGAGACUUUCAGCAGUGGGUUGGUUCUUUUGAUAAGAAAUAAAAGAGAGCAUAGGCAGUUAGAUGCAUCACAGUUUCUAAAAUAAUUCUACAAGACUGAAUCAUGGUCUACAGAACCCUCAUAAAUCCAAAAUUGUUACUUGAGUAUAGUCCAUUGUGUCAGACUGGCGUUGAUCAUUGGGUUGUCCGUGUGUGAGCAGUAAUUGACUAGACGUCGUUCGACCGUAUUCAGUGUUGGUUAAUAUGCUGGGGCUCAAGCAAUGGUCAGGAUUUGUAUGGAGGAACUAGAUCCUUUCGAAAAGGUCAGUGCCGCCAUUCUGGAUGGAUCCUCGAUAAGCAUGUCCCGGAUGCUACCUGUUAUACCAUAGAACUCGAGGCCAGUACCAGAUGAUAUGUUGUACUGAAUGAAGAACUUGAAAGAUUUCACAAGUCUUGUCUUGAGAGAGUUUCAUCGUGCGGGAUUGGAAUCGGGAGGGUUCUCCCAUCUCCAGGCAGCUCCCUUGUAAUUGAGCUAUCAGAAUAACGGAUGGUAUGUGAGAUGUAUUUGAUUCUUUGAAGCUCCCCCACCGAUGUUACCCGUUCGGGGGAGUUGUGCCACAUACGUUCAGGUCAAAAGGUAGCACUCCGCUUUCAACGCACAUAACAACACACCAGCUGUAGACGGGAGGAGGCUGUAGCAGAUCCGGAGGAUUUGGUGAUAUGGAAGCGUCAGCAUAGUGAUGAGUUGGUCACGGGCGAGACUGGUAAGUUCGAUGCCAUACAGGAGCCGCGACCGGUUGCAAUCGGGAUGUCGUCUGGCAGUGGAACGGAAAACAUUUAACCGAGUUUUACAGCCACACUUAACGUCCCGAAAUGGGCGACGAAGGACAGAUAUCUAGUUGGAUCCCAAUGAGCUGGGCCGUCUUUUGAUAGGGCACAACUGUCUCGUCAAUGUAUAUGGAAGUGCUGAGAGGACUAUGCUGGUGCGAGUAGAUGUGGACCAGAGACCUUUUUCAGCUGAGAGUCGAAUCCAGCAGACGACGCACACAACGAUACAAUCCUGGCAGCCAGUUUAAUCCGGAGCGCCUUAACGGUGUUACAAAUGACUACGAGUAAGGGCAUUAGACCGAACCACGAUUGCCAAUCCUUGCGGGACACCUGUCUCCUUGCAGAAUUAUCGGUUGAGUACUCUGCACAUCCUGAUGGAACCAUUGACUUUAGCAAUAGAUCACAUCUUUCAAACAGUAGAUUUGAUAUUCUUUGGAAGUAUCUCGAAGCCUCAAGCAAGAAGCUGUCCGAUAUGGAACUCAAUCUCAUCACGAGGAAGUAGCUUCAAAUUGAAAACCUGGAAAAUCAGGAAAAUCCGAUGACUGACAGUGAGAAGAUUGCUGAGUCCUUGGUAAGCGGGAUCCAGGAUUUCCAGUACGAUCCAGACGGAGAAGUUUUCUUCGCUGGCUGGUAUGCGAAGGUACGAGGACGUUUUUACAAAGGACGGCCAAUCCCUGAAUGAUGCCGCCCGUGUGAGAUUGCUUCUUCGAAUAUACGGAUAUAACACAGAAUACCUGACACCGCUGGAUCCACGCCAAAUGACGACCUUCUCCGAUUUGCAUGAAACUUUGCAUAAUUGUUUGUUCUGGACAAUGAUUCACAUUUUUGCUAAAAUUUGGCUAUUACAGUCAACUUUCGCUCGUUGGGCUAAACCCAUAGCCCACUUAUAGCGAAUUUGUUUAUUAUUCAGUUCCAACCUGGAUCGGGUAUCAAGAUUGGGUCUGCUUGUUUUCUGAAAAACGUCAGUUUGCUCGUUUGUUUUUAAAACCUAGCUCAGGUUGAGGUUCGCGCUGACAAAAAGUUCGGUUUCACCCGAUAAUAAACGAAUUCACUGUUAGUGAAAGGCUUUCGUUAGUUGGGCUGAGUUGUCAAGCUGAAAAUUGGUUGAGGGAUACAGCGAUUGUUUACUAUCAUUAGAAUCACUUAGCAAUUCCAAAUUGUUCAUCCAUGAGCCCCUCGAAAUGGAAUCAGCACUGUCAGAAACGGUGUUUGACUUCGAUUUAAGUUGGCAAUAGCCCAACUAGCGGGAUCCCAACUAAAACGUAGCCCACUCAAAGAUAGCCCAACGAGCGAAAUUCGACUGUAUAUACAAUUAUUUUCGAUAUUUUUCCUAGAACUGAUGCGAAUUCGGUUUGUAACUCACUUCUUCUUCUUGUUCGCAUUUCAAGCUUAUUGCUUAGCGCAUAAUAGCUUAUUGCGUGCUCUCAACUUAGUGUUCUAAAUGCACUUCCACAGUUAUUAAUUGAGAGCUUUCGAUGCCAAUACCAAUGCAUGAAUUUGUAUAUUGUGUGGCAAGCACAAUGAUACUCUAUGCCCAGGGAAGUCGAGAAAAUUUCCAACCCGAAAGAUGAUUUGUAACUCACAUGACCUGCGAAUUUCAAGUUAAUUGACCGCCUUUAUUGUUUAUAUCUAUGACAGACAUGAUUGUACCUCUAUAUACCUCUAUGAUUGUACUAACGUUGUACUCCAUUAAGCAAGUACCUCGAUUGUGGUACUAGAUUAAAGGAUUACAAAGUUAUUACAAUCAUGUCUCUCAUAGUCUCUACAUUGAUUAUGUAGCUUUCAAGCGUGAGUCAUCGACAACGAAACACUUUUGGUUAUGGCUAAAUUCGAUGUAGAAAGCCUCAGAGCUUCCGCAUUACAUUUAACAGCGGGAAAAGUGUGAUCGAACAUUCGUUAUCAUUUACAAUAGUCAACUCAAUUGCUUUCCCAGAUCAUAGCCUUUCACCAACGCAACAUAACCUCUCGAACGAAAGCGAAAUUUGAACAAAAAUCAGAACGAAACAACACGAUAGACAACAUUCAACAUACAAACUCGUGAUCGCCGCGAUCCGAACAAUAAUGGUAUCUUGUAUUAUCACAAGAAAAAACGGUUUAGAACACAUUUGAAACCCUGCGUGAAGUGCCAUCGCUUUCGAAUAGUCUCUCAACGUACACCAAACAAAAUAACAAAAUAACAAAAUAGCAUAUAUAGUAUUUAUGUUCUAUAUUGUAUUGUGUAAACAAAAAGGUACGUACUUUGGAACAGUAGUCGAAAGAGGCAUCAUUUCAAGCAAUUAUUUAGACACUCUAAAGAGAAAUCACAACCAAUUUUGCAAAUACCCAGAACCGGGAUGGACGAAUGGAGGAAGGAAAGUAAGCUGUAUUUGUACAUAUCUUGUGAAAAAUAUUACUAAAAUUGCUAGAGGAAAAAAACACUACUAAGCAGAAUACCGAAACAGUAAACAGUAUAAGCAAAUCUUUGAGCGGAAAACAGAAAUUGAUGAACAUAUUUUUUUAAAGCUGAAACACCUAAAUAACACUAAACCGAUGGACAGCCAGUGAAAGCCAACACAAUAAACGAAAAACUAAUAAGAAAUCAACUAAACCCGGAAAACCGAUAAAUGGCAAACGAAGAAGAAAACCAAGUAAACAACCACAAGCAAUUAAACCUAAAUCGCGGAUCCAUUUGCAUGGUAUAGUUGAAAUCAAAAUACACACACAAAAAAAAUAGUAGAAUAUUAUCAAGCAAAAAAAACUAAAUAAAAAAGGAAAAAAAUCAACAACUUGGAAGUUGGAACAGAAAAUGGACAAACCGCAAACACACAAUAGUUGUGCGUUUCAGUGGGUGUAGAUUUUUUUUUUUAGUGAGAAAGCAGAUGAGGAAGCGAAUCGAAAGGCGACUCUUUCUUAAGGCGUUGUUGGCUCGAGAGCGUUUUGUCCCGUUCGUUGUGCUAAACAAUCCGCGCUAUCAAAAUACAAUACAAAUUACUUUUAGUUUUUUGUUUUGCGUUCACUUUCUUUGUAAGUUUUACGUUUUACGUUUACCUGUAAUUUUAAGAAGAGCCUCUUCUAGCAAAUGGAAGCGCAUGUUUUCAGUUUCCGUUUUCUAUAUAGCGAAAAAAACAAUGGGAAAAUACAAUCCGUAAGCUAGAAUAGCAAAUCAAGUUACGAGUUUUGUUCUUUGUAACGCCAAAACGUAAUUAUGCUUCAUUCGUCUCCUCAGAAGUAGAGUUUUUACGAAAGAAUCGCAUUGGAGAAAUUCUAAAUCGAUGGCAAUUUUCGUGAAAAUACACUAAUACAUAGCAAGCGCUAGUAACUGAAAACAAAAUAAGUAAAACAAAUAAUCACAAAAGUCGACUGUUUCGCUUUUUCGUUGUAUUGUCGUAUGUAUUAAUGAGCAAAAUGUAGAAAACAAAACCAGAAAGCAGAAGGAGCAGCAGCAAGAAGGUGGUGCGUGUCGGAAAAGGUAAGCGAGUGAGGAAAACUAGAAAUAACUAAUAAGGUGGACAUAUUUUGUAAAAAGGUAAACUGAAAAAAAAAACAAUUUGAACAUUCAAUUAGUGACGUUUUCGAAAUUUACGUGAUCAUCUUAUCAUAAUAGGAAGGAAUAGAAAACUGUAAUGCAAAUGAAAUAAACUCAUUCGAACGAAGCAAAAAACACGCAUAAGACAGAUAACGAAAUUUGAAGAAAAGAAAAAGGCACAGGGAACCUGGCGCACCAGUAAAGGUCACCAGAUGGAGUGUGGGACUGCUAGAGAAAAAGGAAAACUUUCAUACGAUAAUGUGCGGAGAAAGAGACAAAGACCGACAGGAAAAAAAUAAUUCUCAAAAAACAUCCCAACAACAAAACACAAUAGAACACUUUUUGGAAAACCACUUUGAAAAACAAAACUACACAAUAUGGCAAUGCAAACAUUGGAAGCAGAAGAAGGGAACGCGUUUAAAGAGAAGAAAUAGCGUUUAAGCGUACAUGCAUAUAUUAUAUUGAUGAAGAAAACAAAAUUAAAAGUGAAUAAUUUGAGGAAAAAAUGAAAAAAAAAAAUAAUGACAAAUAAAAGAAAUAAUAAAUUUAAA